rnacentral:tRNA from 1 species
GGACCUAUAGCUCAAUGGUUAGAGCAACCGGCUCAUAACCGGUCGGUUACUGGUUCGAGUCCAGUUAGGUCCA